ACUACUUAUCUUUCUAGUCGUCACCUUUCUUUUCUCUCCUUUCUUUUUCUAUUUAUACAAUCUUCCAAAAACAAAGAAAAAGUAAAGAGAAGAGAGGGAAGGAAAUAUAAGAGUAUAACGAUGAGAGGAAAAGGAGGAGAUCCAGAGUCGAGGAUUCCGUUGUUGAAGAGCCAUGAAACGGCGGUGGAAGACGGUGGAGGAUUGAAGAGAAGAGUUUGGGUUGAGACAAAGAAGCUAUGGCAAAUCGUUGGUCCUGCGAUAUUCACUCGUAUUACGACAUAUUCUAUGCUUGUAAUAACUCAAGCCUUCGCUGGUCAUCUCGGGGAUCUCGAACUCGCCGCUAUAUCAAUCGUUAAUAACGUCGUCGUCGGCUUCAACUUCGGCCUCUUGCUUGGAAUGGCGAGUGCGUUGGAAACGUUGUGUGGACAAGCGUUUGGAGCAAAGAAAUAUCACAUGUUGGGAGUUUAUAUGCAACGUUCUUGGAUUGUUCUCUUCUUUUGUUGUAUUUUGUUAUUACCGACUUAUCUUUUCACAACUCCGGUUCUCAAAUUUCUCGGUCAGCCAGAUGAUAUCGCUGAGCUUUCUGGUGUCGUCUCCGUUUGGGUCAUCCCUCUUCAUUUCGCUUUCGCUUUGUCUUUCCCACUUCAACGUUUCCUCCAGUGCCAGCUCAAAAACCAGGUGACUGCGAUUGCGUCUGCGAUUGCAUUGGUCGUUCACUUUUUAGUGUGCUGGUUGUUCGUUGAUGGACUUAAACUCGGAGUCGUGGGAACUAUGGCUACGGUUAGUAUCUCUUGGUGGGUCAACGUUCUUAUUACUUUAGGUUACUCCGUGUGUGGCGGCUGUCCACUCACUUGGACCGGCUUCUCCUCCGAAGCCUUCACCGGGCUUUGGGAGUUUCUCAAACUCUCUGCUUCUUCCGGCGUCAUGCUUUGUUUGGAGAAUUGGUAUUAUCGAAUUUUGAUAAUAAUGACUGGAAAUCUUGAGAAUGCUCGAAUAGCUGUUGACUCUUUAUCUAUUUGCAUGUCGAUAAAUGGGUGGGAGAUGAUGAUUCCCAUCGCUUUCUUCGCCGGAACCGGUGUACGUGUGGCAAACGAACUAGGAGCAGGCAACGGGAGAGGAGCAAGGUUUGCGACGAUUGUAUCAGUGACACAGUCUUUAAUCAUCGGAUUGUUUUUCUGGGUGAUCAUAACGUUUUUCCAUAACCAAAUCGCUUGGAUCUUUUCUUCAAGUGAAGAAGUCUUAAUGGCCGUUAAUAAACUCUCAAUUCUGUUAGCUUUCACAGUUCUUCUCAACAGCGUCCAACCGGUUCUUUCCGGUGUUGCGGUUGGAUCGGGGUGGCAAUCAUACGUGGCUUAUAUAAACUUGGGAUGUUAUUACUGCAUCGGAGUUCCAUUUGGGUUUGUAAUGGGCUGGGUUUUUAACUUUGGUGUCAUGGGUAUUUGGGCUGGUAUGAUUUUUGGAGGAACCGCAGUCCAGACAAUGAUCUUAGCUUUUAUCACGAUGAGAUGUGAUUGGGAAAAGGAGGCGCAAAAGGCAAAUACGCGUGUUAACAAAUGGUCCAACAUAAUCAAAUGAAGUUUCACUCAAUAAAUUUUCGACUUGGUUGUGUAUCUUAAAUUUUGAAAAUCAUGUUAUCAAAAUGUACCUAGAGACCGUUUCAACUAUUAAGUUGCUCUCUGCAGUUACUACAAAAAUACUCAUUCUGUUCUUAAUUGUAGCUUGUUAUAAAGAACUAGAGGCCGAGCCCCGCGCAAACGCGGGGUUAUUUGUUUAUUUGGCAAAGCAGAGGGUCGGAGGUGGUGGAAUUAGUAGGGAGGCAGCUGUUUGUUGUUGAUUACGUGUAGGACGCUUUGUGAACGAAGACCAGUUGAUACAUAUAUAUUUUUGUAUUUAGUUGUCAGCAUCCCAAUUCCCACCGAGGACGCUUUGUGAACGAAGACCAGUUGAUACUCUUUUGGAGUUUUUGUUUUGUUUGGUGGCUAUUGGAUUUUAGUUGGUUUCUUUGUUGCAUUGUUUAACGUCGAUGCCAUGUAACUAUCUGAACAUGUUCUCAUGCAUGAAGCAAAAGACAUGCUUAUUUUCACGAAAUGCAAAGACCCAUCAACGUUCCCCUUUA